GACAGAGGGUGCAAACGUUGUUCGGAAUUACUGGGCGUAAAGCGUGUGUAGGCGGCCAUAUAAGUCGGAUGUGAAAGCCCAGGGCUCAACCCUGGAAGUGCACUCGAUACUGUAUGGCUCGAGUACUGGAGAGGUUGGUGGAAUUCUCGGUGUAGAGGUGAAAUUCGUAGAUAUCGAGAGGAACACCGGUGGCGAAGGCGGCCAACUGGACAGAUACUGACGCUGAGACACGAAAGCGUGGGGAG
rnacentral:rRNA from 1 species